CCCUAAGAAGCUUCGGCAACA
rnacentral:tRNA from 2 species